GCAUGGAUGGCCUGAGAAUGCCUACCACCCUUUCUUCAGAGGUACCAGAAAGCACAAAGAAAUCUGGACGUUGCCGACCAACACCAUCUUCAAUGAAGACAUAGAGGUCAGAUGAAAUCAUGCAAAGGGAUCCAAUCAAACGAUCAUUAAAGGAUCAAUCAAAUGUGAGCACCUCUCCGUCAGGAGAACAGGGCCAAAAGAUAUAUGGACGUUGCCGAUCAACACCAUCUUCAAUCGCAUGAGUUAAAACUGCAGUUGUAGUUAUAGCCACUGAAAAUAGUAGGGGCAGGCGAAGUCGGGCCUGGCCGCGCUCUCGUCGCCGUCCAUGUCAUGCUUGUCCAUCCCCGCCCAAUCUACGCACGCAAGAACCGGCAAAUUAAUCAACCAGCCACGAAACCUGGCGCAGAGCGAUUCGAUCCAAUCGAUGGAUCUCGGGAGGGAGGAAGGGUACCGGCGUGGCCGAGCUCCGAGUCUUAGAUAUAUAGGUAGGGCAGACUCUCGCGUGCGCCGCUCGUCCCUCCUCAGCCUCUGGCCCUCUCCUCCGCUUCUCG
rnacentral:lncRNA from 1 species